UUUUUUUAAAGAAAUGAAGAAGCUGAAGCCAGGGAACUUUCCAUAACUUGACCAGAGUCAUAGAAACUGCUUCCUGACUGACUGGUUCUCAAUUUCCUGUCCGUUCUAUGCUUCCACCUCACCUUUCAGAAGUAGAGAUCAGUGCAUUUGCAAGAGCAGAGAGCAGAGACAUGAGGUGAAAUGGGAAGUCCUGACAAAAGCAAUUGACAAAGGCACAGUUUAUAAUAAAUGAGAAUCUUGGAAUUCUAUUGCCAAAUUACGCAGACCUUUCCAGAAAGAGUAAGUCAAAGCAGAUCGGAUAACUGGCUCAUAAUUAACAGUGACCAAGAGCAGCAUUGCUCCAGUCCUGC
ensembl:lncRNA